rnacentral:rRNA from 1 species
GAUGAACGCUGGCGGUAUGCCUAACACAUGCAAGUCGUACGAGAGUUUUUAACUCUAGUGGCGGACGGGUGAGUAACACGUGAGAAUUUGCCUUUAGGAGGGGGAUAACAAUUGGAAACGAAUGCUAAUACCCCAUAUGCUUUUGAGUGAAAUGGAUUUUAUCCGCCUAGAGAGAAGCUCGCGGCUGAUUAGCUUGUUGGUAAGGUAAGAGCUUACCAAGGCGACGAUCAGUAUCUGGUUUGAGAGGACGAUCAGACACACUGGAACUGAGACACGGUCCAGACUCCUACGGGAGGCAGCAGUGGGGAAUUUUCCGCAAUGGGCGAAAGCCUGACGGAGCAAUACCGCGUGAGGGAAGAAUGCCUAUGGGUUGUAAACCUCUUUUUCAGGGAGGAAUAAAAUGACGUGUACCUGAAGAAUAAGCAUCGGCUAACUCCGUG